AACAAACGCUGGCGGCGUGCUUAACACAUGCAAGUCGAACGGUGAUGCGCAGCUUGCUGCGCGGAUCAGUGGCGAACGGGUGAGUAACACGUGAGUAACCUGCCCUUGACUCUGGGAUAAGCGUUGGAAACGACGUCUAAUACUGGAUAUGACUUCUUCCGGCAUCGGGAGGGGUGGAAAGAAUUUCGGUCAAGGAUGGACUCGCGGCCUAUCAGCUUGUUGGUGGGGUAAUGGCCCACCAAGGCGACGACGGGUAGCCGGCCUGAGAGGGUGACCGGCCACACUGGGACUGAGACACGGCCCAGACUCCUACGGGUGGCAG
rnacentral:rRNA from 1 species